UGCACUGCAACUGGUUCAGCCAGGAGAAAGCUGGGAAUAAUGGAAAAAUCUUCAGUGACAGAAGCUGAGAGAGACAAGACCACGCAAGGACUGUGAGAUCUGACCGUGUCCCCACAAUCGGCUCUGCCUGCAGCCCCUCGCUCCGUCACUGGUACCUGCUGCGGCUUUGGCAGCGCAGAACAUGGAGGAGACACACCUGAUUUGUGACUCUGCUUGGUUUUUCAAAGCCAGGUUCCAAUACACCUGACAGUUUCCGUGUGGAACAGGACUGCAGUGAGGUCUGAGGGGCCAUGGCCACUCCGCCGUUGGAAAGCCUCUCGACUGAAGAGUCUGGUUUGACACAAGAUGCCCACGAGGAAUAUUGCUUCCCCAGACUCAGGAUGGUUGACAGGCCUCCAGCUGCUUUCACUGUGGUUAUUACUCUUCAUGCCCAGGAGUUAAAUCCUAUUAAACCUCAGGUUUGUAUGUUAUCCUCCCAGGCAAGUUCUGGCCGCCGGCAGGGAAGAGCAGAGUCCCAGGAAGGAGGUGAGCUGCUUUGCACUCUUGGUAAGAGGAGGACUAGUGGUUUUUAAACCAGUCUCUCUGCUAAGCCUAUAUUAAACUGGAUGAGAUGUUGAGGACUUCUACCCCAUUUUUUAACCGUUCCCUAUGCCCUUUCUAUUCCUCUUUUAUUCCACGGAACUGGAAAGCUUUCCUUGUGUGUCUGUGUUACACAAACCACUUGGGUGUGUACUCAGCCUCUAUCCAAAAUGCUCUUUGAAAUGCCGCUCGUUGAAUUCUGAUGGCAGCCUAUGCCUACACAGUUUAUUAAAUAUUAAAUUAUUAUCUGGGCUACAGGGUAUCUUGAGGCUGAUAAAUUUCAGAUAAGAAGCCAAAUUAAAUACAUAUUUAUAAUUAAGCUAAUUAAAUUAACUCUAAAUCUUGUAACAUAUCUUAUCUAGUGCAGUCUUCUUAUUGCACUUAAAAUCACAACUAGAACAAAAUGGGCCACUAAUGUAAAACUCUUUCUGCUAAAGGAGUAGUUGCUGUUUAGGAAUCUUGUUCAUCUUUAUGAACAGAAACGAAUUUUUAAUGAAUUAGACUGCUGCGGACAUCUAUGACUCUAUAAAUGCAGGCUGUUGGGGCAAUAAAUAAAGUAUUAGCAGGGUGAGAACACCACUUCUUCCCUUCUGAAACAUGAUAAGCUGUGUUUUACAGAAUAUAGGAGCAAUGUGCUUUCCUUUGGGCGUUUCUUAGGAAUAAGAAGGUGAACUCUUAAAAGUGUCUCAGUCUGGCCUUCAAAUUUGGAUUGGUCUUUACUUGCGUAUCCCUGAAUGCACUUACUCAACUACGACAAAGAGCAUCUUAUGGAGUUCCAUUUGUGCCUUCUUUUCGAGGGGUGUAGUUGGUGACUGGCUGGCUGCCCCAGCUCCAGAGAUGUGAAUGUGUCUCCUGCUCUGGACUGAUCAAGUCUCAUACUGUGGGUGUGUAAAGAACAACACAACACACCGCCAGGAAUCUGAAAUGUAAACGCCUCUUCCGUUAUUUGCAUCAAUCACAGCUUUUUGCAGCUUUUUUUAAUUUUUUUCUUUCAUGAAUGAUUGACUGGCUGUGAACUAACUGUUAUACUUACGUUUUUUCACUUUAUUUGGUAUAAAUAUACCUAAUAAUCAUGCCUAUGGUUUCAUGGAUUAAUGCACUGUCUGCCAGUUUGGGAAGUCCUCACCAGCUGCCUUUCCGUAGCGAUACAGGAGGCAACUAAACUCAGUUGGUUUUACCUCUUUGGGAAGCUUUUGCCUGUUUGGUGGAAAGCUCAGAAAGGGUUAACUAAAAGCCCUCAGAUUCUUUCCACUAGUCUUUCUGUAAGCCUUUCUACUAAAUUCUGCAAGCUUAGGAUCAGGUCUUAAAUAGUGGAUGCCGAAGGGAUGGAAGUCUAAAGCAAACGAUGGGAAGAGGACAGAAGUGUCGUGAAUGAGAAAUAAUGUUGAUUACACCAGAAAGAAUGACCUGAAGUAUUGAGACUCCACCAGACUUGUAUCUUGACACCUCCUACCGAUGCUGCAAAAAACAGCAAGACAUGUCCUGUGCUGUUUUCCACCCACACGGCGAUACAGCUCUCCCUGGUGAAAGGCAUCUAACACAGUGCCUAAGAAGGCUGCAGAGCGAGCAAUCCUAUACUUUGAACAAAGAUCAGUGAGAUCCUGACAAAUGCUGAGGAAAUUCUUCCAUGAACACUGCUCAAGCAUUGCCAUUUCCAGAGCUGGCCAAGAAGGUGCAAAUGUUCCUUGAAACCCGAAUAAUCACAGCCCAGCUCCUGGGGUUGGAUGACAGAUAUUCACCACAAAAGGAAGCAAUCUUUCUGUGUAGGAGAUAAUUGCAGGAGAUAUUUAUUAAGAAUGGGGUUGAUAAGAAUCAAAUAGUGAUUAGGGACAUGGACAAAACUUCAUCACUUUCUUCUUUUCUGCCUUAUAAUUAGAGUUUCUAGCUAGACUUUCUAUGAGCAGGUGAAAUUUAAUAUAAGAAAAGUCAAAGAUACUCUGGAAUAUUAUGGCAUAAAGGAUACAGCAGAUCAUUUCAGGGUCUCUGUCCUCACUUGUUCCCUCCACCGAUCUUGAAUUUUCCCAUAUGGCUGCUUUUCUCUUUUUUCAUGGUUGCUCUGAACCUUCAUCAGCUGAAUAUUUUUAAAAGACAAAUGGAUUAGUUAGUAGAUAUGGAGAUAGUAUAGCUGAAUGUGGAUUAAAAUCACUUUUUCCAUUGUGAAAUGGAUCCCACUUGAGACCAGUGAGGAGGAGUCCUUAGUGAAAAUGAGCUGAAGCUGCCCCCUCGUUUGCAGCUGAUUGCUGCUGUGAGAUGGGCACUUUCCCAAUUGCUCCACCGGGAGCUCGCUGGUUUGGCUCUGUCUCUGUGCAUGAGUUUUACACAAGUUUUCUUUCCUUAUCAGUGACCCACAUGGGGUGUGUUGAGUGAUAAGAACAAGGGAGAAAGCAGCAAUACUGGCUGUUUCAGUGUCUGGGUUAAGUGAAACAUUCACUGCAUUUAAAAAAAGAUAAAGGAGAUGACAAGGCAGAACUACAGCUGAUGGAGAGGUUCUGACUUACAUGGAAGGGUUUAAUCCACGUGCUCUACAUUAGGCGAGAGAUGAGGGGAAGCGUCAAUCUAUUAUCUGUCCAACCUGUUCUCUGUUACAGAACUGGUUCUUUUUUAAUGUGAAACUCAGCCUUGCAAAAGGCCUGGGUAGGUGAGUGGGGUGCCCUGGUGGGAGUUUCCAAAAUGGCCAUUGUUUUGAAAUCCGUCACUUACUGAGCCUUCUCUUGGAGAUUUCGCUUCUGUGUUUUUCUUGCCUGGUAAUGUUAAAAUAAAGAGAA